AUUGAACGCUGGCGGCAUGCCUUACACAUGCAAGUCGAACGGUAACAGGUCUUCGGAUGCUGACGAGUGGCGAACGGGUGAGUAAUACAUCGGAACGUGCCUAGUAGCGGGGGAUAACUACUCGAAAGAGUGGCUAAUACCGCAUGAGAUCUACGGAUGAAAGCAGGGGAUCGCAAGACCUUGUGCUACUAGAGCGGCCGAUGGGAGAUUAGGUAGUUGGUGGGAUCAAAGCUUACCAAGCCGAACAUCUGUAGCUGGUCUGAGAGGACGAUCAGCCACACUGGGGCUGAGAAACGGCCCAGACUCCUACGGGAGACAGCAGUGGGGAAGUUUGGAUAAUGCGCGCAAGCCUGAUCCAGCACUGCCUCGUGGAGGAUGAAGGCCUUCGGGUUGUAAACUGCUUUUGUACGGAACGAAAAGCCCCGGGUGAAUACCCUGGGGUCAUGACGGUACCGUAAGAAUAAGCACCGGCUAACUACGUGCCAGCAGCCGCGGUAA
rnacentral:rRNA from 1 species